rnacentral:rRNA from 1 species
ACUCCUACGGGAGGCAGCAGUGGGGAAUAUUGCACAAUGGGGGAAACCCUGAUGCAGCCAUGCCGCGUGUGUGAAGAAGGCCUUCGGGUUGUAAAGCACUUUCAGUAGGGAGGAAGGUAGUGGUAGUUAACACCUGCAUUAUUUUGACGUUACCUACAGAAGAAAGCACCGCUAACGUCUGCCAGCAGCCGCGGUAAUACGGAGGGUGCGAGCGUUAAUCGGAAUUACUGGGCGUAAAGCGCAUGCAGGCGGCCUGUUAAGUCAGAUGUGAAAGCCCGGGGCUUAACCUCGGAAUUGCAUUUGAAAACUGGCAAGGCUAGAGUCUUGUAGAGGGGGGUAGAAUUUUCAGGGUGUAGCGGUGAAAAUGCGUAGAGAUCUGAAGGAAUACCAGUGGCGAAGGCCGGCCCCCUGGACAAAGACUGACGCUCAGAUGCGAAAGCGUGGGGAGCAAACAGGAUUAGAUACCCUGGUAGGAUAG